UCUGCUUUGCAUGUGAUUUGCUCAGAUCUUUAUGUCCUUUCUUCAUUGCCAUGGAUUUAUGCUUUUGAUGGAUUUCUUUUCUCCUCACAGAACAAAAUGAUAGCAAAGGUCUCUUUAAAGCCAUUAUCUCAGAAGCCAAAGAAGGAUGAAAAUACAGGAUGCAUUUGUUGAAGUGUAAUCAGAAAUACCAUCCCACAAUUUCUUCAGUAACUCACCUUCAAUACGUAGUCCAUUUUCACUGUGGUGUCUGAUUAUGUUUCAAGUGACUGUCACCAUGUAUUGGCAUGACUUUCUGGAAUUCCGUAAGUCACAUUCACCAUUCAAUCCCAUUCUGGCCUCUUUUGCUUCUGGCUCAUUGCAAAGUCACUCCACAGAAUCUGUUGUGUUCACGAACAUGUUUAUCUGAAAACAGUAAAAUAAAAGCAAUCUAUGGAUGACAUCCCUUUUCAUGAAGACCUCAUAAGUAGAAAUCCACAUCUGUAAUGUCUUCCAAGAUGGGGAAACAGGAAAUUGCAAAAAAGGAUCCCUGGGUAUACAGAGAAUGCAAAGAGACAAAGAUGGAUGCAACAUGUACAUAUCUUUUUAUAAAUUAAAAUGUGUCCAGGCAUUUCCCCUUCUGCACUAUCUUAGUUUGCCUAUUGGUCUCUAUGUUCUUAGAUGCUCUUAGAUGCCAGAGUGUAUAUGGCAAUCAGGGCUCCCUUAGCAUUUCAUCACAGGAGAGUGCUGCUACUGCCUGUUUGUCACAUGACUGAGAAAUGGUUGAAUUCCCCUUGAUGUGAUGGAAGUCACAAACCUCUCUUUGUUCACCAUUCAUCUCUCUUUUACUCUGAAAUACCUUUUUUGAACAAUGUUCCACUGUUUUGCUUUGGGCUGCUUCUUCUCCUCUUCAUUGUUUUCCACUUCCAGGUCAGCUUGCAACCCAGGGACAUCUCUACCUGACAUCAUUUCUGGGGCCAUCAGCACUAUGUGAGCUAGGUUGAACAUUCUGACGAUCCUUAAAGGAAAAUUUAGAAAAACUUCAGACACAGUUACUUCCCAGGGUAAAAAAAAUCUUGAACAAUCCACUCUGAACUGAAGAAAGGAGGAAUCACGGAUGGGCAGAGAUGGUGGGCAGAUGAAUGUCUAAAGUACUGUUACGUUGAAGGGGUCCAGCCAUCACUAUCUUUUUUUAAAAAAAAACACCUAUCCUCAUCAAGGAACUACUGUGCUCUUGAACUCUCUUUGCCUUGAACUCUCUUAAUAUAUGCUGUUUGAAUGAAGUACGGUGAAGAAAACCACGUGGAUCACCUUGACAUUCUUGAAGGAAAAGUGAAAGAUGAAAAAGGAAGAUGAGCUUAAAGGAGUAAGUCGGCACUUAGAACGUGUGUUAUGCAAGCAGUUUGCUCCAUAGCAAAAUGCAGAAAACAGAACCACAUAUAGUGUUUUUCAUUAUGACUAGCCAAAGUAACACAUCACAAGAUUGUGCAGGUUUUUGAGUUCUCCAGAACUCUUUACUGGCUGCAUUUUUUUAAAAAGAGCCUGAUGAGCAGUUCUGGAGAACUGAAAAAACUUGUACAUUGAUGGAUUGUGUCAUUUUAGUUAGUUUUAAUAAAAUAGAUUUCAUUUUAGGUAGACACCUACAGUGUAAUACUAAGCAGAGUUACAUCCUUCUAAAUUCACUGAAAUCAGUGGGCUUAGGAUAGUGAACUUUGCUGAGGGUGGCAUUUUUUUAGUUUUUGUGGAUGCACAUUCUGUCAGCUUGACAGGGUUACUGUGAAGAUAAAGCAGGAAAGGAGAAGUUGAAUACCUUGGGAGAAGAGCAGAAUAGAGAUGUGCUAACCGAAUUGAUAGAUGGAUAGAUUCUAGAAAACAUAGAGUCUCUAGACUAGCCACUAAAAUUCCACCUAUGGUCAAAUGUGAAACAAAUCUAACAAUCCUUUCUCAUGCAAAAUUAUCCAUGACUAGUAUAUGGUAGAUACAGGAUUUCUUAAAAUGUUUGCAGGUUAGAAACAAAUUUUCUUAGGCAAAAGCUGUAUAGGAAGAUGCAAGGAAGCCUCAAUGUAGUUUAGCAAAAGAUCUCAGAGGGUUGCACCUCUCUGUGGCAUGGCACCAUGCUUCUACAUUUGAAGAGGGAAUCUCAGUGAAGUACACAUUUAGAUAUGUACAUUCUUCAGAUCCUGGAGCACUAUCAUGAGCUAUUCACCUGCCUCUUGAUUUCCGAAGAUGUCUUCAAAACUCACAACAUGCAUUAAAAUAAUAGAAAAUUGAAUUUUUAAGCAGCCUUCCUCUUACAUUUUUAACGCAAGAUCUAUUAUAUCAGAAAGGAGCUGCUUUUUCUAUUGCUCAUCAAUAUAGGUCAUUUUUUUUUAAAUGACACUGUUUCUUCAUUGCUGAAGGCAUGCCUGAGCCAAGGGAACAUCAAGAGACGACACAAGCAAAUAAACAUUCACUCUAUCUAAUUAACUCACUACUCUGCCACUGUGUGGUGUUGGUAUCAAAUGUUUUAUGUCAUCGGAUUUCAAAAAGAACUUUUAUCUCAUUUCUGUACAGGAAUAAGGAAAUGUGAGAGCAUAAAUAUUUCAAACUGCUCAUAAUUAAAACUUCAUGCGUUUGGCACAGAAACCACUUUGGCAAGCUGAGCCAAUUGUUUCCCGCACUUGUGCCGGGCCCACAACUUCUCAAGUUAACAGCUGGGCAGUAAAUGUGGUGUGGCAUUGUUCACCCCUAGAAUGUCUUCAGUAUGCUAGUGGUGGUAAUGAAACCUUCCCCCUUUUUUGUAUUGCACCAUUAAUAUUAAAA